rnacentral:rRNA from 1 species
AUGAACGCUAGCGGCAGGCUUAACACAUGCAAGUCGAACGAGACCUUCGGGUCUAGUGGCGCACGGGUGCGUAACGCGUGGGAAUCUGCCCUUCGGUUCGGAACAACAGUUAGAAAUGACUGCUAAUACCGGAUAAUGACGUAAGUCCAAAGAUUUAUCGCCGAAGGAUGAGCCCGCGUAGGAUUAGCUAGUUGGUAAGGUAAAAGCUUACCAAGGCGACGAUCCUUAGCUGGUCUGAGAGGAUGAUCAGCCACACUGGGACUGAGACACGGCCCAGACUCCUACGGGAGGCAGCAGUGGGGAAUAUUGGACAAUGGGCGAAAGCCUGAUCCAGCAAUGCCGCGUGAGUGAUGAAGGCCUUAGGGUUGUAAAGCUCUUUUACCCGGGAUGAUAAUGACAGUACCGGGAGAAUAAGCUCCGGCUAACUCCGU